rnacentral:rRNA from 1 species
UCCGUAGGUGAACCUGCGGAGGGAUCAUUACCGAGUUUACAACUCCCAAACCCCUGUGAACAUACCUUAAUGUUGCCUCGGCGGAUCAGCCCGCGCCCAGAAAAAACGAAAGGAAAACAAGAGGGCCAAGAAGCUAAUGUUUAAAAAAGAAAAUAAGAGUAAAACGAACAAAAAAAAUCGAAACUAACAACAACGGAUCUGUUGGUUCAGGCAUCGAUGAAGAACGCAGCAAAAUGCAAUAAGUAAUGUGAAUUGCAGAAUUCAGUGAAUCAUAGAAUCUUUGAACGCACAUUGCGCCCGCUGGUAUUCCGGCGGGCAUGCCUGUUCGAGAGUCAUUUCAACCCUCAAGCCCCCGGGUUUGGUGUUGGGGAUCGGCUCUGCCUUCUGGCGGUGCCGCCCCCGAAAUACAUUGGCGGUCGUCAAUGCAGCCUCCAUUGCGUAGUAGCUAACACCUAAGGGGCUUAACGCGGCGCGGCCAUGCCGUAAAACCCCAACUUUCUGAAUGUGACCUCGGAUCAGGUA